rnacentral:rRNA from 1 species
UCAACGGAUAAAAGGUACUCCGGGGAUAACAGGCUGAUACCGCCCAAGAGUUCAUAUCGACGGCGGUGUUUGGCACCUCGAUGUCGGCUCAUCACAUCCUGGGGCUGAAGUCGGUCCCAAGGGUAUGGCUGUUCGCCAUUUAAAGUGGUACGCGAGCUGGGUUUAGAACGUCGUGAGACAGUUCGGUCCCUAUCUGCCGUGGGCGUUGGAAGAUUGAAGGGGGCUGCUCCUAGUACGAG